rnacentral:rRNA from 1 species
UAAGGAAUAUUGGUCAAUGGACGCAAGUCUGAACCAGCCAUGCCGCGUGAAGGAUGAAGGUCCUCUGGAUUGUAAACUUCUUUUAUCUGGGACGAAAACGGGAUUUUUAUCUCAAUUGACGGUACCAGAGGAAUAAGCACCGGCUAACUCCGUGCCAGCGGCCGCGGUAAUACGGAGGGUGCAAGCGUUAUCCGGAUUCACUGGGUUUAAAGGGUGCGUAGGUGGGCAGAUAAGUCAGUGGUGAAAUCUUCCGGCUUAACCGGAAAAUUGCCGUUGAUACUAUUUGUCUUGAAUAUUGUGGAGGUAAGCGGAAUAUGUCAUGUAGCGGUGAAAUGCUUAGAUAUGACAUAGAACACCAAUUGCGAAGGCAGCUUACUAUAUAAUUAUUGACGCUGAGGCACGAAAGCGUGGGUAGCGAACA